UACGAAGGGGGCUAGCGUUGCUCGGAAUCACUGGGCGUAAAGCGCACGUAGGCGGGUUGUUAAGUCAGGGGUGAAAUCCUGGAGCUCAACUCCAGAACUGCCUUUGAUACUGGAGAGCUAGAGUCCGGAAGAGGUGAGUGGAACUGCGAGUGUAGAGGUGAAAUUCGUAGAUAUUCGCAAGAACACCAGUGGCGAAGGCGGCUCACUGGUCCGGUACUGACGCUGAGGCACGAAAGCGUGGGGAGCAAACAGG
rnacentral:rRNA from 1 species